CUGGAUGGCUGCGGGUAUCCUUAUUGGUGACUGGAUCGUUUUUUGAUAAUCCCGGACGUUGUCUGGACAGUCAUUAACGUCUAAGUUGCAGUAGGGGUUGAGAUUAUACCGCUCGAACCUGAACAGCGCUCAUACCUGCGUAGGGAAGCCCCCAGUGUCACCU
rnacentral:ncRNA from 1 species